CAGUCGCCGCGGUAAUACGUAGGUGGCAAGCGUUGUCCGGAAUUAUUGGGCGUAAGGGCUCGCAGGCGGUUUCUUAAGUCUGAUGUGAAAGCCCCCGGCUCAACCGGGGAGGGUCAUUGGAAACUGGGAAACUUGAGUGCAGAAGAGGAGAGUGGAAUUCCACGUGUAGCGGUGAAAUGCGUAGAGAUGUGGAGGAACACCAGUGGCGAAGGCGACUCUCUGGUCUGUAACUGACGCUGAGGAGCGAAAGCGUGGGGAGCGAACAGGAUUAGAUACCCCCGUAGUCCCUGUCUCUUAUACA
rnacentral:rRNA from 1 species